AUUUCUAGUUGCAAUUCUCUGUCUGUCCCUUGGCUCUGGGGAGGGAAAGGGGGAGCUGGGGCGACAGGGGCUGGGAGGGGCUAAGGGGCGACCCUCACUCUUUCUUUUCGCUAAGUGAGGGUCCUGAGCGCCGCCAACGGGGUUGAGGAAAUGCUGUGGGCCGAGGCACACCCAGGAGCGCAGGAACUGGAGGAAGGAAGAAUCAACGCCAGGAACCCAAGGCCCUCUCUUUCUAGUUCCCCGGCUUGCCCGGCCGCGCUCGCCACUCCCUCUUAGCACCGGCUCCGUCCCUGACCGUUCCGGGGCCUGGCAGCCUGGCCCUCUGUCCCAAGCACUUGGAUGCUCUCUCUCUGGAUCACUGCCUCAGCCCCUGCUUUGGGGACGAUGGAUCCAUCUCCUGCUCUCCCCGAGCAGCUCUUGAUCAGGUGUCUGCACGCUCAAAGGCACCCUCCCCGCUCCUCUCCCCGAGGGCCGAGUGUGAGAAGGACAAACUUUUGAGUGGAUGAAAAUCAAGAGGAGCCAGUCCGGGAGCAGGGUUGAUGGAGUGACAAGUGUGGCAAGGCUUUCCUAACCCUGUAGUGCGAAACUGAUUUUAAGCAGGGGGAGACAGCCUCCUCUCUGGGCCCUUGAGAUGAAGUCCCAAGCUGAGAAGAGUUGAGAAAGGAUGUCUUGAAGGAGCUGGGCUGGCCCAGGACAGAACCCUCUUCUGAGGGGCAGUUUGAUGCCACAUGCCUACUGCAGAGAAACCAUUCAGAAACAAAGGAAGACAGAGAGAAGACCUAGGAAAACGGCACAAAGAACUGGAAAAAUCCAGAACAACAGAGAAGAGAUUGGGAGAGGAAAAGACCUGAGAAAGUACUGGAGCCAGAGGAAGGUGUGGGGAGGAAGAUGGGUAGGAAAGGAAUAUGGAGAGAGGGCAGAAGGAAGGGGCAGGACUCUUUUUUUUUUUCUUAAGUGAAGGAUAAAAACAGGAA